ACUCGAGCCCUUCGUAGCACAUCCCAUAUACGUUGGAAUUGAUUUGUUCGUUCGGCUCGAGUUA
rnacentral:pre_miRNA from 1 species